rnacentral:rRNA from 1 species
UACGGGGGGGGCAAGCGUUGUUCGGAAUUACUGGGCGUAAAGGGCUCGUAGGUGGCCAACUAAGUCAGACGUGAAAUCCCUCAGCUUAACUGGGGAACUGCGUCUGAUACUGGAUGGCUUGAGUUUGGGAGAGGGAUGCGGAAUUCCAGGUGUAGCGGUGAAAUGCGUAGAUAUCUGGAGGAACACCGGUGGCGAAGGCGGCAUCCUGGACCAACACUGACACUGAGGCACGAAAGCGUGGGGAGCAAACAGG